rnacentral:rRNA from 1 species
CGUGCAGGCGGUCUGUUAAGUUGUGCGUGAAAGCUCCCUGGCUCAACCGGGAGAGGUCGUACAAAACUGGCAGACUUGAGGGCAGCAGAGGAGCGUGGAAUUCCGGGUGUAGUGGUGAAAUGCGUAGAUAUCCGGAGGAACACCAGUGGCGAAGGCGGCGCUCUGGGCUGUACCUGACGCUAAGACGCGAAAGCAUGGGUAGCGAACG